GCGCUACCUGCAGUCGAGCGGUAACAUAUAGUAGCUUGCUACUUUGCUGACAAGCGGCGGACGGGUGAGUAAUGCUUGGGAACAUGCCUUGAGGUGGGGGACAACAGUUGGAAACGACUGCUAAUACCGCACAAUGUCUACAGACCAAAGGGGGCUUCAGCUCUCGCCCUUGCAUUGACCCAAGUGCCAUUAGGUAGUUGGUGAGGUAAUGACUCACCGGCGCAACGAUCCCUAGCUGGUUUGAGAGGAUGAUCAGCCGCACUGGCACUGAGACACGGACCAAACUCCUACAGUAGGCAGCGAUGGGGAAUAGUGCACAAUGGGCGCAAGCCUGAUGCCCCCAUGCCGCGUGGGUGAGGAAGGCCUUCGGGUUGUAAAGCACUUUCACUCUUGAGGAAAGGUUAAUAGUUAAUACCUGCUAACUGUGACUUUGCUGACAUAAUAAGCAACGACUAACUCCGUGCCUCCAUCCGCGGUAAUACGGAGGGUGCGAGCGUUAAUCGGAAUUACUGGGCGUAAGGCGUACGCACGCGGUUUGUUAAUCUAGAUGUGAAAACCCCAGGCUCACGCUGUCAACUGCAUUUCCAACUGUCAAACUAGAGUGUGAUAGAGGGUGAUAGAAUUUCAGGUGUAGCGGUGAAAUGCGUAUAUGUCUAAAGGAAUACCGAUGGCGAAGGCGGCCACCUGGCUCCACGCUGACGCUCAUGUACUAAAGCGUGAGGGAGCU
rnacentral:rRNA from 1 species